CAUCUUCCAUCAGACGAUGCUGUGUGGUUGAGAAGUUGCCUGCUGCUACUUUUCUAGAUACUUCUAUAAUGAAAGGGUUUACUGGUUAAGUUUUCGUUGCUCUAAUGCUCCAAUUUUCUAGUAAAUAGCAGUGUUAAAUGAGUAUAAGUGGCAUCUUAUGCAGUAUGGUGAGCAGCUCUUUCAGCUUAUUUUCAUCCGCUAGACAGGAGUAUUUUGGAAGGG
rnacentral:misc_RNA from 1 species